GUAUCAUAUCCACAUUUCUUCACGUCCACCCUUUUGGAGCCAAUAUAGAAUAUCUGUGGUCUUAUAUGCAGCAGUUGGACUCCAGGAUCUCUGCAAACGAGAUAGAAAUGCUUUUGAUGAGACUGCCACGCAUGUUUAAACAAGAAUUCACUGGUGUAGGAGCAACACUGGAAAAGAGGUGGAAGUUUUGUGCCUUUGAAGGAAUUAAAACUGUCUGACUGUGACAAGAAACAAAGCUAUGCAGAAGAAGAAGAAUUCCUAGAGCAUGGCAGGGUUAUGAAGUAUUAAAGUAAGGAUUUGGGUUUGGGCACAUAGUAGUACGUUUUCAAAGUUAUCCAAGCCUAAUUUUAGUUACAUUUGUGACGUUCUCUUGUGAGUGGAAAUGUAGUUGUGCACCAGUUCUUAAAAUAAAAUAAAAGAAAAUUUUUCAAAGUUUCCAAACGUGAGGGAUCUGUUUCCUAUGAAAACUGAAGAAAGGCACCACAGGCAUCAUGAUUUCAGAGGACUCCAUGUCCUACACCUGAGAAAAGCUCAUUGAGCCAAGAGCUGCUGAAGGGUGGCCCAGCAGUGGUGGCUGAGCUGCAGCGUAGGGGAGAACAUCCCAUGGAGCAGAGCUCAGUAAAAUGUCCCUUUAUUGAAAGUUCUUUCCGUUGGGUCGGAAACCUGAGUGAUGUUAGUGAGGGAAAGCAUACCAAAAGAAAACUUGAAGAUGUGUCUGAAGUUAUUGUAUUUUGUAAAUUAAGUUAUAUGCUGUACCAGGGAUUUUUGCCUUAUUGAAAGAGGCCUGAAAAUGUGAUUGGAGUCCUCAAGAAUGCUUUAUUGAGAAUAUUAUUUUUCUAAUGUAACUAUUCUCCAUUACGAGUUCUUUUAACAUGGAUUGCAUAUCAAUUUUCAUAAACAUGUAAAUAAGGAGGAAACCAGUGUUACUGUAUUGUAUUUGGUAUGUAACAUUCAGGUUUAUGCAUCAAAAUAAACAUUCAGUUGCAUUACUGUUACAAAUUUUAUAGCAGAUAUAUUAAUUUUUAUCAAUAAAUAUGGCUUCUACCA